rnacentral:rRNA from 2 species
CUUGGUGACAAGGCGUUGCGGACCCACCCGUUCCCAUCCCGAACACGGUAGUGAAACGCGGCAGCAGCGAAAAUACUCGGCGGGAGACUGCCCGGGAAGAUAGCCCGUCGCCAGGG